AUUGAACGCUGGCGGCAGGCCUAACACAUGCAAGUCGAGCGGAUGAAGGGAGCUUGCUCCUGGAUUCAGCGGCGGACGGGUGAGUAAUGCCUAGGAAUCUGCCUGGUAGUGGGGGAUAACGUCCGGAAACGGGCGCUAAUACCGCAUACGUCCUGAGGGAGAAAGUGGGGGAUCUUCGGACCUCACGCUAUCAGAUGAGCCUAGGUCGGAUUAGCUAGUUGGUGGGGUAAAGGCCUACCAAGGCGACGAUCCGUAACUGGUCUGAGAGGAUGAUCAGUCAGACGGGAACUUAGCCCCGUUCCAGCUGCCUGCGGGAGGCAGAAGUGGGGAAUUUGGUACCAUGGGAGAAGCCCUCAUCCACCCAACCCUGGGUGUAGAAGGAGGUCUUCGAUUUUUAAAGCUCUUUAAGUUGGGGGGAAGGGCAGUAAUUUAAUGCCUCGGUUUUUUGGCGUGACCAACAAAAGGAACGGCGGUCGACUGCGG
rnacentral:rRNA from 1 species